CCUUUCUCCCCCUCUUCCCCAAACCCUCUUCCGCCGCACCUCCCCUCCCCCUUUCCCUCCGUCGCCACCACCUCCCUCUGUCACCACCACCGCGUCUGACACCCCACACCUUCCUGUUCCCCACUCCUUUCUUUCACCGUCAUCCCCUCUCUCUCAUCUCCACGCUCCCUGACACCCUCACUUCACCGUGUCUCCCCUACGCGUCUGACACCCCACACCUUCCUGUUCCCCACGCUCUUCCCUCUCCCGCUUCCUUCAAACAACUAUAAAUAAAGGGGAGAGAAGGGGAUCUUUUUUUCGAUGUUUGAAACCCCGAAGAACAGGACUUUUUGGAAAACCCUCUCUAAGAAUAAGAUUUUUUUUAGGACCAAGCCCUUUUGAAUCGCAAGAACUCCCCCCCUUCGAGAAAAUAUAUACAAGUUUUAGUAGCCUAAAUUCAGGAAAAAUCAGGGGUCUAGCAUUUUGCCUCAGUGUUUGAUAGCGAGUCAAAGUUCAAAUCACCAUUUCGUUUUUUUUUUUUAUUAUUUGUUUUUUGCUCUUGGUGUUCGCGUGGAUCCGAGAGUAUAUAAGUUUAAGGAUUCGGGUUUGUUUCAAGGUAGAUUUGAGGGUGUUUCGAGUGUGAAUCGAAGAUCCCUACCCAUUUCGCUGCACCCGAAAAAGAAUGGUGGUAUAACACAUCAUUCCACUCUUCCAUUCAGAUUACUCCAUUUGAAGCUUUAUAUGGCCAACCUCCUCCAUUGCACCUACCUUACAUUGCAUUGAAAGUGCGAUUCUCUUCUUUUGUUCCUUGAGGACAAGAAACAUUUUAAGAGGGAUUGCAUUGAAAGUGCGAUUCUCUUCUUUUGUUCCUUGAGGACAAGAAACAUUUUAAGAGGGGAGUACUGAUGUGUUCUGGAAAUUGGCACGCUUAGGAAGUAGUACUCGCUGCUUGCGGAAGUGUACAGAUGGAGUUAAUGGAGUUAGUUAUAUGGCGGGGCCCAGUUAGUUAUCAAGUACCAAGCAUUGCACUUUAGUCCUUUCAUUUUUGUCACAGUAUUUACUUUAUUUACCCAUUAGACCCUAAACUAGGAAGAGCACAAUGUAAGCUCAUUCCCUGUCACUAUUGCAUUUAUGAAAUGAGAACUUUUAUCUUGUCUUUAA